rnacentral:lncRNA from 1 species
CUGCCUUGACCAUGCAUUAUGGCCAACAAGUAUAUAUUACCUUCAGCGGUAAGUUAUCACGAGAAGAAAGCCCCCCCAGGGACCUGAAAACAAAUGACCCAGAAUUGAUUUAGAAGCAGUGUAGCCUGAUUUUAUCGUUGUCCUAUUGCAAGGUGACGAUGUAAUAUAUGCAGGUUUAAGAUAACAGUAAAAGAAAGGAAUUUAUAAAAAUACAAAUGCAAAGGUAGUUUUCGUUGCAGAUGUGACUGAUAUAUACACUGCACAGUAACACAUGAAGAUUACUAGUUUUAUCGAUGUUCAAUUUCCUAACUAUUACAAACUUUCCGGAUCUUCUAUGUGCAUUAAUUUCUUUCUUUCCUUGCUCUUCCUCUUGAAACAUUUCAAUUUAACCUACUUCAACCCAAACUAACCAGCUUCCCACUUAUGCCUAGAUACUAUCAUCAGAAAGACUUGAUGCUCCAUAACUAGAAUUCAUUACCAAAAUUUUACUUAAUAUUUCACAUUAUGCAGAAAUAAUUAACAGGAUUGCAUGUUUUUUCUGCUUAAAGAUGAAAAGUAGAUAAAAAGAAGAGCUACAUGAUAUGUCGUCAGGUAUAGAAAGAAUAAGAAGAUUCAUAAUUAGGUAAAAACAUGCUAUAGCCUAAAAGGCAAUGACAUACUGCAGUUCCAGUGCAAAUGAUCUUACUAAUAUUUACAUGCAUGCAACCACGUCUGAAGUAGUCGAUUCGACCAGUAGUUCAUAAUCCUUCAGGUUCAAAUCGUAAGGCUUUUUAAAUUACUCUUAUUGCUGUUAUAACUAAACCCUGUCAACCUAGGAUAUAAUAUGGUAGGGCUUUCUGGUUUAUGAACAGUUCUACCCUACUUGACCAAUAAAAGUGUCAGGAUAAACAAGGAAGAAGUACUUAACCCCUAGAGUAAAAAGGAAUAAUACAGUCUGGAAAAAAUGGUUGGCAAGAAUGAAAAACCAACCUGGUUUUCCAGUCAUCAUAAAAAUAUGAUUAAACAACUAACUGUUCAAUCUACACACUAGAGUGCUGAAUGUACUCACAAACAUGAUUGUCCACUUUCAAACAGAAAUUGGAAUACAUAUAACAGUAGAAAGCGAUAGAAAUUAGAUGUAUUAUUGAAAUAAUGAUCCUAUCAAUGUUGCUGAGGCCAACUCACUACAUUCUAAACAAUCUAGCCUCAAAUUAUGAUCAAGUCAUAUGCAAGCAGGCUAUACAAUUAUAGGGGUGCUACGUACAUUGUUAGUGUAAAAAAUGUUACAUGUCCCUAGCUUUACUUGUGCUGAGAGUAUUACAGCCUUCAAUUCACAAACUUAACUGAGGAAAAUUUCAUUAAGCAAAAACUUUAAAUAUAAAAGAGAUAGUUGGUACCAUGAGAAAAUCACACCAUGAUAAUAUAAACAUAACUUAUGUGAUCAUUCACAAAAGUUCAUAUCUCAAAAUUCAAAAACUUAAUAUCAAAUUGGGAGUCAAUAAAAUAUCAAUAAAGUGAGAUUUUGUGCAUGAGUGUGCUUGUUGAAUAGUGUAACAUAAAUUAUUAAUCCCAAGCUACAAAAAGAAAAAGAAAGAGUUUUUCUUGAUUUUAUUAACGGACUUCAGAUAAAUAUGAUUAUAAUCAAAUUAUACCACAUAAAAUCAAGUAUUAGAAUGAAGCAAAAUCAAAGGGAUAUGUAUUACCCCCAAGCUUCGUCGUAAAGAUCUAGCCCCUUGAACCACAAACAACUAAAUGUUUGAUAUAACGCUUCAUAGAUAUGUAUGGACACAGAUCAACAAAACUAAGGUAAAGGCAAGAAAAGGGAGGAAAAAGAGAGUGAAGAUAAACUUCCAACUCGGGCUUGGUUACAAAGAUCUAGUAAUCAUAAACAAUAAGAAAUCUUCAUAGUCAUCACUCAUUACAAGAAUUUAAGAGAAGAAGGAAGAGAAAUGAAAUAUAACGAAUGACCGACAUCCCUCCAUGAACAUUCCUAAAGAUCUUACCUUAAGCUGUAAACAAUUAAGAAAAUUUUUACAAAAAGACUUCAUAGGAUUGUGAGGGGGCAAAGCUCAAGGAUGCAAACAAGAUCAACAUACAUUCUUCAUUGUCAAACAUAAAGCUUAGCUGAUAAACAUCCAUUAAUGGCAUAUCAACCCCCAUUUUGUUUUCUUUCGUUUUGAGGAAUCAGCACUGAUUGAAAGAAUGGUUUUUCUUGUGACAUCUCAAAGAACUGCGUUUGACUAAAAUCAAUUUGCACUGGUAAGUAACACCACCAAAAAUCAAAGACCUGUAGACUCAAUCCAAAUUAAACAAGCAACAAAUUAAGGAUGGAAAAAGGGCAGAUUUGAAAAAAAAAAUAAUUUGACAAACAAAAUCUGAAUUUUUGGACAGUACGUAAAACCAAGCCCUCAACGAGUCUCAACUCUUGAACAAAACAAAAUAAAAAAACAAAAUUCCUAGGACAUCAUGAAACCAAAUCCCAAUUCAGAACAAACACAAAAGAAACAUAUAAAAAAGAUUAAAACCCUCUGACUUGACACAAAAGAAGAGCAAAGAAAAGGGUCUAUACCAAAGUGAUGAAGACAGGCGGUAGUGAAGCCUGUAGCAAACAGACACAAUUCUGUAACCACCCACAGAUUCUUUUUAUGUGGUUUUUUUUUUUUUUGUCUUUCUUCUUCUUUUAUUUUCACUCAAACUUACCUAUGACUUUUUGUGCAAUGUGACAAAUGCAAAACAAAU